rnacentral:lncRNA from 1 species
CGGAUGAGAAAGAGCAAGAGGAAAAACUUAGUCGCUUCUUCGAAAAACAAUUGAAACCAACGAUCCGUGAAGAUUGCAAAGGGGUUGAAGAAUGACAUGUAGAACCAGCAUGAAUUGAAACGAAAUUUUGGCAGCAUUUCACUAGGAAACUGAGGACAAACAUUGAUAAGAUCGAAAUAUGUUGACAAGAUUCAAAACAAACCAACUAAUU